GACGACGGGGGCUAGCGUUGUUCGGAAUUACUGGGCGUAAAGGGCGCGUAGGCGGUCUUGUAAGUCAGAUGUGAAAGCCCCGGGCUCAACCCGGGAAUAGCAUUUGAUACUGCGGGGCUUGAGUCCGGGAGAGGAUGGCGGAAUUCACAGUGUAGAGGUGAAAUUCGUAGAUAUUGGGAAGAACACCGGUGGCGAAGGCGGCCAUCUGGACCGGUACUGACGCUGAGGCGCGAAAGCGUGGGGAGCAAACAGG
rnacentral:rRNA from 1 species